UGGACAGCCUUCUGAAAGGAAGAUUAAUACAAGAUGGCAUCAUGAGUCCGCAUGUUCACAUGAUUAAAGGUAUUCCGGUAGACGAUGGGGAUGCGUUCCAUUAGAUAGUAGGCGGGGUAACGGCCCACCUAGUCUUCGAUGGAUAGGGGUUCUGAGAGGAAGGUCCCCCACAUUGGAACUGAGACACGGUCCAAACUCCUACGGGAGGCAGCAGUGAGGAAUAUUGGUCAAUGGGCGAGAGUCUGAACCAGCCAAGUAGCGUGAAGGAUGACUGCCCUAUGGGUUGUAAACUUCUUUUAUAAAGGAAUAAAGUCGGGUAUGCAUACCCGUUUGCAUGUACUUUAUGAAUAAGGAUCGGCUAACUCCGUGCCAGCAGCCGCGGUAAUACGGAGGAUCCGAGCGUUAUCCGGAUUUAUUGGGUUUAAAGGGAGCGUAGAUGGAUGUUUAAGUCAGUUGUGAAAGUUUGCGGCUCAACCGUAAAAUUGCAGUUGAUACUGGAUAUCUUGAGUGCAGUUGAGGCAGGCGGAAUUCGUGGUGUAGCGGUGAAAUGCUUAGAUAUCACGAAGAACUCCGAUUGCGAAGGCAGCCUGCUAAGCUGCAACUGACAUUGAGGCUCGAAAGUGUGGGUAUCAAACAGGAUUAGAUACCCUGGUAGUCCACACGGUAAACGAUGAAUACUCGCUGUUUGCGAUAUACAGCAAGCGGCCAAGCGAAAGCGUUAAGUAUUCCACCUGGGGAGUAC
rnacentral:rRNA from 1 species